rnacentral:misc_RNA from 1 species
UCAUCGCUUCGACAUUUGGAUUCU